rnacentral:tRNA from 1 species
CCCUGGUGGCUCAAACAGUAAUAGAUCUGCCUGCAAUGCAGGAGGCCCAGGUUCAGUCCCUGGAUUGGGAA